CCAAAUAAGACGCUGGUAUACUUAGUUUGAUUUCGAAAAAAAUCAAUUUUUGGUGAAAAAUUCGAUACGGGGGGGUAUACCCGAAAAAUGAAAAAACCCAAACUUUGAAGGUCGAUAUCUCGGCUUCUAUGGGAGCUAUCGGGAAAAUUCCAACGGUUUUGUCUUAGUUUCGUCAUUCUAAAUCCAACGAGACCAUCCGCAAGGUCGUAGCUCUUACGAUAGCUGAGAUAUGGCAUUUUUGAUGCCCAUUUUUGGCCUCAAAAACGGACGUCGAAAACGACUUUUUCAGGAUUUUCAAAGUGCUCUCAUUCCCUUAGUUCUGCUCGGAUCCUGUUAUAACCCGGUGUUUUCGUAAUCUAGGUGAUCCAAAUAAGACGCUGGUAUACUUAGUUUGAUUUCGAAAAAAAUCAAUUUUUGGUGAAAAAUUCGAUACGGGGGGGUAUACCCGAAAAAUGAAAAAACCCAAACUUUGAAGGUCGAUAUCUCGGCUUCUAUGGGAGCUAUCGGGAAAAUUCCAACGGUUUUGUCUUAGUUUUGUCAUUCUGAAUCCAACGAGACCAUCCGCAAGGUCGUAGCUCUUACGAUAGCCGAGAUAUGGCAUUUUUGAUGCCCAUUUUUGGCCUCAAAAACGGACGUCGAAAACGACUUUUUCAGGAUUUUCAAAGUGCUCUCAUUCCCUUAGUUCUGCUCGGAUCCUGUUAUAACCCGGUGUUUUCGUAAUCUAGGUGACCCAAAUAAGACGCUGGUAUACUUAGUUUGAUUUCGACAAAAAUCAAUUUUUGGUGAAAAAAUUCGAUACGGGGGGGUAUACCCGAAAAAUGAAAAAACCCAAACUUUGAAGGUCGAUAUCUCGGCUUCUAUGGGAGCUAUCGGGAAAAUUUUAACGGUUUUGUCUUAGUUUCGUCGUUGUGAAUCCAACGAGACCACCCGCAAGGUCCUAGCUUUUCUAAUAGCUGAGAUAUGGCAUUUUUGAUGCCCAUUUUUGGCCUCAAAAACGGACGUCGAAAACGACUUUUUCAGGAUUUUCAAAGUGCUCUCAUUCCCUUAGUUCUACUCGGAUCCUGUUAUAACCCGGUGUUUUCGUAAUCUAGGUGACCCAAAUAAGACGCUGGUAUACUUAGUUUGAUUUCGACAAAAAUCAAUUUUUGGUGAAAAAAUUCGAUAGGGGGGGGUAUACCCGAAAAAUGAAAAAACCCAAACUUUGAAGGUCGAUAUCUCGGCUUCUAUGGGACCUAUCGGGAAAAUUUUAACGGUUUUGUCUUAGUUUCGUCGUUGUGAAUCCAACGAGACCACCCGCAAUGUCGUAGCUCUUACGAUAGCCGAGAUAUGGCAUUUUUGAUGCCCAUUUUUGGCCUCAAAAACGGACGUCGAAAACGACUUUUUCAGGAUUUUCAAAGUGCUCUCAUUCCCUUAGUUCUGCUCGGAUCCUGUUAUAACCCGGUGUUUUCGUAAUCUAGGUGACCCAAAUAAGACGCUGGUAUACUUAGUUUGAUUUCGACAAAAAUCAAUUUUUGGUGAAAAAAUUCGAUAGGGGAGGGUAUACCCGAAAAAUGAAAAAACCCAAAC